rnacentral:pre_miRNA from 1 species
GAUUUCAACUAAAAAAGUCAUCAACAACAAAGUUGUAUAACUCACCAAGAUCUAUAACUUUUAUGUUUGUCAUUUCUUCAUCAGACAAAGUGUUAGUAACAUUGUUCACAAAAUUUUCACAUAUGUUAGUAACAUAUCUGAGAGAUAUGUGAAUUUUGUGAACAAUGUUACUAUCACUUUAUCGGAUGAGGAAAUGACCAAAAUAAAAGUUAUAGAAUCUUGAUGAGUUAUACAACUUUAUUGUUGAUGACUUUUUAAGUUGAAAUC